GAUGAACGCUAGCUACAGGCUUAACACAUGCAAGUCGAGGGGCAGCAUGGUGGUUGCUUGCAACCGCUGAUGGCGACCGGCGCACGGGUGAGUAACGCGUAUCCAACCUACCCACGACCCAGGCACAGCCCGGCGAAAGUCGGAUUAAUGCGUGAUGGUCUCCUUAGAGGACAUCUGACGAGGAGUAAAGGAUUCGUCCGGUAGUGGAUGGGGAUGCGUCUGAUUAGCCAGCCGGCGGGGUAACGGCCCACCGGGGCGACGAUCAGUAGGGGUUCUGAGAGGAAGGUCCCCCACAUUGGAACUGAGACACGGUCCAAACUCCUACGGGAGGCAGCAGUGAGGAAUAUUGGUCAAUGGUCGGAAGACUGAACCAGCCAAGUAGCGUGCAGGAGUACGGCCCUAUGGGUUGUAAACUGCUUUUGUGUGGGGAUAAAAGACGUGACGUGUCAUGUUUUGUAGGUACCACACGAAUAAGGACCGGCUAAUUCCGUGCCAGCAGCCGCGGUAAUACGGAAGGUCCUGGUGUUAUCCGGAUUUAUUGGGUUUAAAGGGAGCGCAGGCUGCCGGUUAAGCGUGUUGUGAAAUGCGGGUGCUCAACAUUCGCACUGCAGCGCGAACUGUCUGGCUUGAGUGCGCUGGAAGUGGGCGGAAUUCGUGGUGUAGCGGGUGAAAUGCUUAGAUAUCACGAAGAACUCCGAUUGCGAAGGCAGCUCACUGUGGCGUUACUGACGCUCAUGCUCGAAGGUGCGGGUAUCGAACAGGAUUAGAUACCCUGGUAGUCCGCACGGUAAACGAUGGAUGCCCGCUGUCGGCCUUUAUGGUCGGUGGCCUCGCGAAAGCCUUAAGCAUCCCACCUGGGGAGUACGCCGGCAACGGUGAAACUCAAAGGAAUUGACGGGGGCCCGCACAAGCGGAGGAACAUGUGGUUUAAUUCGAUGAUACGCGAGGAACCUUACCCGGGCUUAAAUUGCAGAUGAAUGAUUCAGAGAUGAUGAAGUCCUUCGGGACAUCUGUGAAGGUGCUGCAUGGUUGUCGUCAGCUCGUGCCGUGAGGUGUCGGCUUAAGUGCCAUAACGAGCGCAACCCCUUUUGCUAGUUGCCAUCAGGUUAAGCUGGGCACUCUGGUAAUACUGCCGCCGUAAGGUGUGAGGAAGGUGGGGAUGACGUCAAAUCAGCACGGCCCUUACGUCCGGGGCUACACACGUGUUACAAUGGCGCGUACAGAGCGUUGGCACUCCGCAAGGCGUGUCGAAUCGUGAAAUCGCGUCCCAGUUCGGACCGGGGUCUGCAACCCGACCCCGCGAAGCUGGAUUCGCUAGUAAUCGCGCAUCAGCCAUGGCGCGGUGAAUACGUUCCCGGGCCU
rnacentral:rRNA from 1 species